AGAGAGAGAGAGAGAUGGUGAGGUGAGAGCUUCAAGCUCCUUUCAUGGUGGCUAGAGAGAAACUGAGAUUUGAGUUUGUCGCAGAGAGAAAGCUACGACGGAAAAAAAAUGAAAUUAGGUUUGUAAUAUUUGAGUUUUUUCAAGGGCAAAAUCGACAUUUGGAUAUUUCGACUGAAUCAUCUCCAUCUAACUGCUUCGUUUCGGUUCAUUCAACUGAACCAUCUCCAUCCAACCUAAUUUUCGAAAAUAAUUCAACUGAUCCAUUCGAAUGAGUGAUGUUUUUUGUGUCCAAACGAACAACGCGCUCAGCUUCAGCCAAAUGAUUCAGUUGAAUGAAGAAACGAACAUGGCCUAUAUAUGUCACCUGAUUCUCCUCGUCUUGGUUUCGAUUGAUAGUAUCUCGAAUGUAAGUUUUGGUUCAUUCUUUUGCCCAGGAAUAUUGGUUGUAUACUUAUCGCAGCAAUGUUUGCAUGUGUUGUCGUCCUUAUCACUCGCAUAGAAUAAGGUUCUUUGUUUCCCUGUAAACAGAUUAUUUGGACGUCCAUCUUCUAUCUUAUUAAAGUUAUUUAAAUAUUAUUUGAAAUUAACUUUUACCUCAUGUGUUAUUUGCAAAAUCAACUAAUAAAAAUCAUCCCACUUUUAGACAAUUACACAUAAUUUAAAUACUAUUUAUUUCUUCAGUUUCAUAAAAAAUGUCAUUUAAAAACAAUUUACGGUGAUAUUUAUGAUAAUUAAAUCAUUUCUUAGAUCAAUGCAUUUUACUGUUAUUAUUCAUUUGGAAAUAAAUAUUAAUUGUAUUGAAAUUUUAAAACGACAUUUUUUUUGUAGCAAGCAAAAUGUCAAAGUAACGCUUAAAAAAAACAGAAAAAAUAUAUUUAAUAAAUAUAAUAAUUAGUUAGAAACAUUUAAAUAAUUUAUAAAAAGAAAUUAAAAAUAUAUAUUACGAAGUGUUUUGAAGGUUAAAUACUUCAAAUAUUUAAUUUGCAUAAACUAAAUUUAAUAGACGAAUUAGCUUAUUUGUAUUUUUAUAAUAUAGAAGUGCAUUUGUUUAAAUUAAAAUUAGUUAUGUUAUGAAUAAGUUAUCUAAUACAAUAAAGUUGCCUUGAGUCUCUCCUCAUGAAUCCACGUCAUCUAUUAGCAUAGGGCAUUUGUUGACACCUGUCGUGCUCUCUUUAAUAACUAUCAAGUAUCGAACUAAAAAUCUAAUAUUAGGCUUUUCAAAUAAUCUAAACCCAGAAAAAACUAAAAUUUUAAGCCCACCAACAAUGUGCAGAUCAGAGUUCUUCUCUGCUCUGCGUAGCCCCCCUCGAAUCUGAUCCCCUUCAUUCUGGUGACGGAAUAACUCCUAUUGAUGAUGGGUGCAAUCAAUUAACCCCACUAUCUGUUCUUCAAUGCCGACUUCUCACCUCCCACAUCAACGGAUGCUACUAUAUCAAAGUGCUCAUGAGAAAUCACAAAUCUUCUUCAAAUUAUAGUAGCCUAAAAACCCUAGAAGAGUACCAUAAGAAUGCAGUUGUUACACGUCUUCUGCGGUUUUGGGAGGCUAGGAAUGUGAAGAAAGGACGAGAGCUCACGUCUUCCUCGAUGAGAAGUCUACGCUGGUCCAAGGGUCAAUUGGUGCUUAUAGACUAAACCGCUAUACUUAAAGGAUUCUCAGUUCAGAGAAGGGGACAGAGCAGAGUAUCAGUUCAGAAUGACAGCUACUGUACUCGACAAUGUAACUCAGGUUCCUCUAUAGUUUUAAAUCCAUUCUUGAGAAAUUCCUUCUCGGAUCAUUAAUUGAUGUGUUUAUAAACCUCCAGGUUACUAAUCUAUUUUAAAUUCAAGGAACUCAUCGUAAAGGUUUCUUUGAAUCGAUUAGGCUAACAUGGACUAAACUCCUGAAUGGUUUAGUAGAUUUUAUCACCAGAUAAACUUACAGGUUACACACUUUUGCUAGAAUUUUCUGUUGAUUUACUUUGAAAAUUAAUCAAUACUCUAUGCAGAAACAAAUGUUUAAGUUUCUUCGACUUCAGCUGUCAUUUUCAAUACAUGUGCUUAAGCUGGACGGUUAUGUUCGUUCUCCUCCUCGCUCUCUUCCCAACCAGUAGGGUAACAGUAAAUGACUGAUGCUUGGAAGUUAAAAGUGAUUGAGCUUGAGCUGAAAAGUGAAAAACUGGCCAACUAUCUUCUGUAGGCAUUGUGGGAGAGCUGCGUGCAAGGGAACUUCUACACCAGCACCCUGUGCCCAGAAUCUCUUACGGCAACCAACGUCCGCCUGUUCAGCGUUUUGUAGACCAGGUUGUGUUGUAUCUGGAUUCAAAAUUAAAAUGCUCAAAUAAAUCCAACUCUAACCUUCAUAAGUCCACGCUGAGAAGGUGAUGAUCACCCGACAUGCCUGGUGCUGUCAGCAAAACUAAACAGCCUACUUCUAAGCUGAACAAGAGUGGACCAGAGAACAAGACAAAAGCUGGUGACACAUGUUGAAUGCGAAAAAUCCUGCUAAUUGCCAGUUUAAUGAUUGCAACUUCUUUGAUUAUUUUGAACCAAGCGUGUGUAUAUAAUUCAUUUUGUUUCAACAAUACUUCUUCUUCUUUUUCGUGAGGAAAACAAAUAGUAGUAUUUUAUCAUUAAUUAACUGAGUAAGAAAAAUAUUUGUUUAA